GAUUAACGUUGGCGGCGUGCAUAACACAUGCAAGUUGAGCGUGGCUUUAGUUUACUAAAGUCUAGCAGCGGACGGCUGAGUAAUGCACAGGAACGUACCUCGAAGUGGGUGAUAGCCCUUCGAAAGAAGGGGUAAUACCGCAUGUGCUCGCAAGAGUAAAGCAGUAAUGCGCUUUGAGAGCGGCCUGUGUCCUAUCAGGUUGUUGGUGGGGUAAUAGCCUACCAAGCCUAUGACGGGUAGUUGGUCUGAGAGGAUGACCAGCCAGAUCGGGACUGAGACACGGCCCGAACUCCUACGGGAGGCAGCAGUUGGGAAUUUUGCGCAAUGGACGAAAGUCUGACGCAGCGACGCCGCGU
rnacentral:rRNA from 1 species